rnacentral:rRNA from 1 species
AAUUUUGGACAAUGGGCGCAAGCCUGAUCCAGCCAUGCCGCGUGAGUGAAGAAGGCCUUCGGGUUGUAAAGCUCUUUCGGACGGAAAGAAAUCGCGCAGGCUAAUACCCUGCGCGGAUGACGGUACCGUCAUAAGAAUCACCGGCUAACUACGUGCCAGCACCCGCGGUAAUACGUAUGGUUAGAGCGUUAAUCGGGAUUACUGGGCGUAAAGCGGGCGCAGGCGGGUGAAUAAGACAGGCGUGAAAUCCCCGGGGUUAACCUGGGAACUGGGCUUGUGACUGGGUAGCUAGAGUACGGCAGAGGGGGGUGGAAUUCCACGUGUAGCAGUGAAAUGCGUAGAGAUGUGGAGGAACACCGAUGGCGAAGGCAGCCCCCUGGGCCGAUACUGACGCUCAUGCACGAAAGCGUGGAUAGCAAACAGG